UACGUAGGGUGCGAGCGUUGUCCGGAAUUACUGGGCGUAAAGAGCUCGUAGGUGGUUCGGUAAGUCGGGUGUUAAACCCCCAGGCUCAACCUGGGGACGCCACUCGAUACUGCUGUGACUAGGGUCCGGUAGGGGAGCGUGGAAUUCCUGGUGUAGGCGGUGAAAUGCGCAGAUAUCAGGAGGAACACCAGCGGCGAAGGCGGCGCUCGUGGGCCGGUACUGACACUGAGGAGCGAAAGCGUGGGUAGCAAACAGG
rnacentral:rRNA from 1 species